rnacentral:rRNA from 1 species
CAGGUCACUCCUACGGGAGGCAGCAGUAAGGAAUAUUGGUCAAUGGACGCAAGUCUGAACCAGCCAUGCCGCGUGGAGGAUGAAGGCCCUCUGGGUUGUAAACUUCUUUUAUUGGGGAAGAAAUCGGUGUUUUCUAACGCCGUUGACGGUACCUGAUGAAUAAGCACCGGCUAACUCCGUGCCAGCAGCCGCGGUAAUACGGAGGGUGCAAGCGUUAUCCGGAUUCACUGGGUUUAAAGGGUGCGUAGGUGGGCAGGUAAGUCAGUGGUGAAAUCUCCGGGCUUAACCCGGAAACUGCCGUUGAUACUAUUUGUCUUGAAUAUAGUGGAGGUGAGCGGAAUAUGUCAUGUAGCGGUGAAAUGCUUAGAUAUGACAUAGAACAUCGAUUGCGAAGGCAGCUCGCUACACUAUUAUUGACACUGAGGCACGAAAGCGUGGGGAUCAAACAGGAUUAGAUACCCUGGUAGUCCACGCCCUAAACGAUGGAUACUCGACAUCAGCGAUACACGGUUGGUGUCUGAGCGAAAGCAUUAAGUAUCCCACCUGGGAAGUACGACCGCAAGGUUGAAACUCAAAGGAAUUGACG